rnacentral:rRNA from 1 species
UACGGGGGGAGCAAGCGUUGUUCGGAUUUACUGGGCGUAAAGGGCGCGUAGGCGGUAGCACAAGUCAGUUGUGAAAUCUCCGAGCUUAACUCGGAAAGGUCAACUGAUACUGUGCGGCUAGAGUGCAGAAGGGGCAACUGGAAUUCUUGGUGUAGCGGUGAAAUGCGUAGAUAUCAAGAGGAACACCUGCGGCGAAGGCGGGUUGCUGGGCUGACACUGACGCUGAAGCGCGAAAGCUAGGGGAGCGAACGGG